rnacentral:rRNA from 1 species
AUGCAUCCAAUCCGCGCGCUCUUCUUCUCUCACGUUCGAUCGAGGGAUCCACCCAACAUGCAUGACAUGGCGGGCGAUCUCCUGAUAACUAGGGCAAACCUGCCUCUCCUCCUCCUGGUGAUCCUCUCCUCCACCGCCGUCCACGGCGUGCCGUUGCCGGACCCAUGCGCCGGCCGCCGCAUCCACGUCCGGCGCCUCCCGGCGCGCUUCAACACGGACCUCCUCCGCCACUGCGACGGCGCCUUCCCGCUGGCCGACCACCCCUUAGCCACGCCCUCCUGCGCCUCGCUCGCCAACCACGGCCUCGGCCCGCGCACCCACAACCGCUCCCGCUCCUGGUACCGCACCGACGUGCGCCUCCUCGAGCCCUUCUUCCACCGCCGCCUCCUCGACCGGGACUGCCUCGCCGACGACCCCGCCCGCGCCGACGCCGUCUUCCUCCCCUACUACGCCUCCCUCGACGCGCUCCCCUUCCUCCUCGACCCCGCCAUGCUCAACUUCUCCGGCGCGCACGGCGCCGCCCUCGCCCAGUUCCUCGCGACCGACCGCCCGCGGGUCCUCGCCCGGCGCCACGGCCACGACCACUUCCUCGUGCUCGCCGGCCCGGCCUGGGACUACGCGCAGCCGGCCGACACCGAUCCCAGGCUCUGGGGCACCACCUCGCUGCUCCGCCGCCCCGAGUUCGACAACUUCACCUUCCUCACGCUCGAGUCCCGCGCGUGGCCGUGGCAGGAGCACGCCGUGCCGCACCCGACGUCCUUCCACCCAUCGUCCCUCCCACGGCUCCGCGCAUGGAUCGCCCGCGCGCGCCGCUCGCGCCGCACGGCGCUGAUGCUCUACGCCGGCACCGUGACCAGGCCGUCCCGCCCCAACAUCCGGAGCUUCAUCCUCGCCGAGUGCGCGAACCGCACCGACACAUGCACCGUCGUCGACUGCCAUGGCGGGUCCUGCGCGCUCGACCCGGUGCGCUCCAUGCGGCCCAUGCUGAAGGCCAAGUUCUGCCUGGAGCCGCCGGGGGACACGCCGACGCGGCGUUCGACGUUCGACGCGGUGGUGGCCGGGUGCGUGCCGGUGUUCUUCGAGGACGCGUCGGCGAGAACGCAGUACGGGUGGCACCUGCCGCCGGAGAGGUACGAGGAGUUCUCGGUGACCAUACCCAAGGACGCGGUGAUGCUGGGGGGCGUGCAGAUCAUGGAGACCCUGGCGGCGGUGCCGGAGGAGGAGGUGGCCAGGAUGCGGGAGCGGCUUCUGGAGCUGGCGCCGAGAGUGGUCUACCGGCGGCACGGUAGCGCGGCAGAGAGGAUGAGGGAGGCGAGCAUGGACGCGGUGGACAUUGCCGUGGAGGGCACGCUGCGGAGGAUACGUGGGCGGGUGCGCGCUCUGGAGGAUGGCCGGCCGGAGGCCAUGUACGCCAUGGAGGACGACGACCAAGAGAUCUAG